AUGUUGAGCAUGAGGCUGCUUAGUGGUGGAGAUGAUGCUUGUGGUGUUCCAUUGAGUAGUGGGCACGAUGUUGGUACCAAAGUUGCCGAUGAGGAUGUUGGUGCUGCCAGCAUACUUGAUGCCAAAUCGUCUGGUUCUGGUAUUGCUAGGAAUGAAAAUCUUUCUGAUUGUGAAGAUUUGCCGCCGGAAAAUUUCCCACCUGGAGGGCUUGAUUACGGCGAUGCAUUGCAAUAUGCCUCUAGUGUGGAGGAGGAACUCCCGUCGUCAAACGCUGAUAGUGCAGAAGGUGCUAAUGUUGCUAAGGUUGAUUUGUUUUUCUUCGCUGUUACGAGGUUGCGCACGAACCGCAGGAAAUGUGACAAGCCGAUGUUUCAAAAUAGCGAAUUUGAUGCCAGUGUUGGUUCUGUUGCUAAAGCGUUUGUCCCCACUGGCAUGCUCAACUCAGACAGUGCUGACGUUGUUUUAUAUUCUCUACAUCGGAAGUACUGA
rnacentral:rRNA from 1 species